rnacentral:rRNA from 1 species
CUUACCUACCCUUGACAUGUACGGAAUCCUGCUGAGAGGUGGGAGUGCUCGAAAGAGAACCGUAACACAGGUGCUGCAUGGCUGUCGUCAGCUCGUGUCGUGAGAUGUUGGGUUAAGUCCCGCAACGAGCGCAACCCUUGUCCUUAGUUGCUACGCAAGAGCACUCUAAGGAGACUGCCGGUGACAAACCGGAGGAAGGUGGGGAUGACGUCAAGUCCUCAUGGCCCUUAUGGGUAGGGCUUCACACGUCAUACAAUGGUCGGUACAGAGGGCUGCCAAACCGCGAGGUGGAGCUAACCCCAGAAAACCGAUCGUAGUCCGGAUCGCAGUCUGCAACUCGACUGCGUGAAGCUGGAAUCGCUAGUAAUCGCGGAUCAGC